UACGGGGGGGGCAAGCGUUGUUCGGAAUUACUGGGCGUAAAGGGCUCGUAGGCGGCCAACUAAGUCAGACGUGAAAUCCCUCGGCUUAACCGGGGAACUGCGUCUGAUACUGGAUGGCUUGAGUUCGGGAGAGGGAUGUGGAAUUCCAGGUGUAGCGGUGAAAUGCGUAGAUAUCGGGAGGAACACCAGAGGCGAAGGCGGCGAACUGGACAGUAACUGACACUCAACUGCGAAAGCGUGGGGAGCAAACAGG
rnacentral:rRNA from 1 species